rnacentral:piRNA from 1 species
UACACAGGUUUAAGGCAUUGCCCACAAC